rnacentral:rRNA from 1 species
UACAGAGAGGGCAAGCGUUGUCCGGAAUGACUGGGCGUAAAGCGCGCGCAGGCGGUUUUUUAAGUUGGAUGUGAAAUCCCCGGGCUUAACCUGGGAACUGCAUACGAUACUGGGAAACUGGAGGCCGAGAGAGGAAAGCGGAAUGACGAGUGUAGAGGUGAAAUUCGUAGAUAUUCGUCGGAACACCAGAGGCGAAGGCGGCUUUCUGGCUCGGACCUGACGCUGAGGCGCGAAAGCGUGGGGAGCAAACAGG